CGUGUAGGCGGCAAGGCAUGUCGGGUGUGAAAGCCCUCGGCUCAACCGAGGAAGUGCGCCCGAAACUACUUUGCUUGAGUACCGGAGAGGAUGGCGGAAUUCCCGGUGUAGAGGUGAAAUUCGUAGAUAUCGGGAGGAACACCAGUGGCGAAGGCGGCCGUCUGGACGGAUACUGACGCUGAGACGCGAAAGCGUGGGUAGCAAACAGGAUUAGAUACCCUGGUAGUCCACGCCGUAAACGAUGGGCACUAGGUGUCGCGGGUGUUGACCCCUGCGGUGCCGUAGCUAACGCAUUAAGUGCCCCGCCUGGGAAGUACGGCCGCAAGGCUAAA
rnacentral:rRNA from 1 species